AGCACAAUUGUUGUGAUUUUACCUUAACAGAGACCAAACCUCUCCAGGAGAAGAAAAUAAACAAUUGUUGCAUCAUUCUUCAAAUCGGUUCAGUUCGCACGGGAGUAUUUUUUGAUUCUUCGGUCCAAUUCUUAAUUCCAAUUAAACUCUCCGCCGCUCCGUUUUGGUCAUCGCCGCCCAAAUACAAAAAUCCCAAAUUAAUUUUCAUACUGUUUUUUAUCUGAUAUUGAAUAAGACCAAAAUCGCCGACUACCCGUUAAAAAUUUAUUCCCUUUUCCCUUUUUGCGAAAGAAUCAUCGUCACCGAUCUUCACAACUCGAACAUAGUUCUUUCCGUUUCAGGCAAGUCACCCUCCUCCCUCUGUUACCUAUAUACUUAGGAAGCCUAAAGACGUUGCUUGAACUGCUAUAGAACAUUGAUGUCAAGUUCAAAUAUAUCUACUUUGAUGUUGCCACCAGAAUCCUCAAAAGAGAAACACAUGGCAAAUGCAAAUACUGACUUGCCUCAACCUUAUUUACAUCAAGUGCAAAGCUCAUCACAAGGCCCUGUGGCUAUAUUCUGGGACAUUGAGAACUGUCCAGUGCCAAGUGAUGUCCGCCCACAAGAUGUAGCUGGUAAUAUUAGGAUGGCUUUGCGUGUCCAUCCUGUAAUUGAUGGAGUUGUCACAACAUUCUCUGCAUAUGGGGAUUUCAAUGCAUUUCCCAGACGACUACGGGAAGGGUGUCAGAGAACAGGCGUCAAACUCAUAGACGUUCCUAAUGGAAGGAAAGAUGCAGCUGACAAGGCAAUUUUGAUUGACAUGUUCCUUUUUGCUCUUGACAAUUGUCCACCCUCAUCUAUCUUGCUCAUCUCUGGGGAUGUUGAUUUUGCUCCUGCUCUCCAUGUUUUAGGCCAGCGUGGAUAUACUAUCAUCCUUGUCAUUCCUUAUAGGGCGAGUGUUUCAUCUGCUCUGAGUAAUGCAGGCCAGUUUGUCUGGGACUGGCCAAGUGUGGCUCGUGGGGAAGGAUUUGUGCCGUCUGCUAAGGUUUUACUUCCUUCUUAUGUAGUUCCGACAAAUAUUCCUGGGUUUUUAACGGGAUGCGAGGUAACUGACAACUUAGAUUGUCAAAAUGAAGAAGAAGCAAUAGUGUAUAGAGGGAUCUCAAAAGGCUGUUGCAAUAAAAGGGAUCUCUCAUUGCUCUCAAGGUCUCCGACUGAAUAUAAUAGUAGUUCAAUAUCCAUGCCCUAUUAUCCUUCGUCUUCCAGAUCACACGGCCUCCCAUCUGGGUUGAAUGAAGUUUCAGCAAAAACUCUUACUUCAUGUGACCAGAAUGACUUCAUGUGGGUACAACCUGGAGAUCUGAAUGGUUUAAAGGGCCAACUGGUAAAGUUGCUUGAAUUAUCAGGUGGGUGUAUGCCUCUAAUCUGUCUUUCUUCAGAAUACCAGAAAAUCUAUGGGAGGCCUUUGUAUGUGUCUGAAUAUGGAGCACUUAAGCUUGUAGAUCUUCUGGAGAAGAUGGGUGAUGCAAUGGCUAUUGAAAUAAGAGGCUCAAGGAAGCUUGUCUACCUCCAUAACUCUAAAGCCAUAUCUGGUGCCCAUCCCUUAAUUUUGGCGAAGAGGGAUAAGAAAGGAAAAGAAGCUCAAGAUCCCAUUGAUGUUGUUGCAGGUGCUGAAUCUUCUGAUGAACCCUCAGAUGAUGAGAGGGUGGUUAUAGGGGAACAUGAUGACAAAAGAGAAAUAGAGAAAUAUAAUUUAGAGAGCCUCAACCUCUUCAAACAUGAGCUUCAAGAGAUUUUGGUAAGCUACUAUUGUCGCAUUUCUCUUGGUUGUUUCGAGGUGAUCUACCAGCAGAAAUACAAAAGACCAAUCAAUUAUCAAAGCUUUGGCGUGAAUGAUUUGGAGGAGCUUUUGGACAAAGUAAGAGACAUUGUUGUGUUGCAAGAGGAACCAGUAAGUAAAAGGAAGUUUCUGGUCGCUGUCUGUGGCUAGAAGAGUUUACUUUCCGCUUUUGGAAUUAUAUUGUGUUGGUGAAGAUGUUACGAGGAUUUGCAUAGGGGAGUUGCUACUGGUUGAUAUUUGCCGUGCUACCUUGCAAAUGUGCAAGUCACUGCUGUCCAGGUGCUGCGUACUUUAUAAGGUAUUCAAACCUGGGCUUUGGCCGAAAGCAUCCCCAGUAGCCAUAAGAACUUGAUUCUUCAUCUAUGAUCAUUUCCCAAUUCCAUUUACUUUCUGCAAUUUCUGUGUUUGGAAUCCUUGGGAUAUACGUGACACAGCACAGUUUUGAAACUGGAGAAAGGUGAAGGUAGCCAUACAUUUUUUGAGAACCACCAGCACAUUAAUGUUUUAUAAUCCAUGGAAUGUAUUGAUGCAAUUCAGGUAUUAGUGUAUUGAGCAUCAGAGUUUGCUUCUGGUUUGAGGCCUAGAGCACGUUCGACCUGUAUCUACUGUGGAUGAACAGAUUAUCCUACACUCAGAUUCUUCUAUCACCAUGCACUGUUUGACUAGCAAAUUUUCUAUAAUAUCCAACUCCUACAAUGGUGAUCCAAGGAGCAAACAAGGUGGUUAUGAAUAAGAGGGCGCUUUCAUUUCCAGUCGAAGAAAAGAAAUCCCUUUCUCCUCAGCCGCAAAACUACGAUACACGUUUUCACAUGUCAUUGCAGAGGGAGGUUGGUCGAUCACUGCCGAUGUGGACAAUGACUUCUAGAGCAGUGAAUAUGUCGUGAGCUCAUCCUUCAUUUCAUAUACUUUGCGCAAAGGCAUAACCUAGAUUAUAACUUUUUUCUUCUUCUUUUAUAGCGUUCAGUACUAUUCACUUACCAAAUAAGCUAUGGUGUUAUCCAUGAACAAACAGCCGAGAAAAGCUUGAGAUUUUAUAUUCUUCGAUUGAUAACCAUUGGAAACGCUGUGAUACAUAUCAUUAAAUUUGGUCCUAGUUGAGCUAUAAUUUGGCAGGACGCAUCAUGUUUAUGUU